ACUCCUACGGGAGGCAGCAGUAGGGAAUAUUGCGCAAUGGGGGAAACCCUGACGCAGCAAUGCCACGUGAGUGAGGAAGGUCUUCGGAUUGUAAAGCUCUGUCCUAUAGGAAGAACGGCAUUAUGGUUAAUACCCAUAGUGUUUGACGGUACUAUAGAAGAAAGCACCGGCUAACUCCGUGCCAGCAGCCGCGGGUAAUACGGGAGGGUGCAAGCGUUGUUCGGGAUUUAUUGGGCGUAAAGCGCGCGCAGGCGGAUUAAUAAGUCAGAUGUGAAAUCUCGGGGCUCAACCCCGAAACUGCGUCUGAAACUAUUAGUCUAGAAUCUUGGAGAGGGAAGGGUAAUUUCACGUGUAGGGGGUAAAAUCCGUAGAGAUGUGAAGGAACACCAGAGGCGAAGGCGCCUUCCUGGACAAGUAUUGACGCUGAGGCGCGAAAGCGUGGGAGCAAACAGGAUUAGAUACCCUGUAGACUGUCA
rnacentral:rRNA from 1 species